ensembl:snRNA U6 U6 spliceosomal RNA
GUGUUUGCUCCAGCAACGCAUACACUAAAACUGGAAUGAUACAGAGAUUAGCAUGGCCCCUGCACAAGGGUGACACACAAAUUCGUCAAGCAGUCCAUAUUUUA